rnacentral:rRNA from 1 species
UACGAAGGGGGCUAGCGUUGCUCGGAAUUACUGGGCGUAAAGGGAGCGUAGGCGGACAUUUAAGUCAGGGGUGAAAUCCCAGAGCUCAACUCUGGAACUGCCUUUGAUACUGGGUGUCUUGAGUGUGAUAGAGGUAUGUGGAACUCCGAGUGUAGAGGUGAAAUUCGUAGAUAUUCGGAAGAACACCAGUGGCGAAGGCGACAUACUGGAUCAUUACUGAACGCUGGAGGCUACGAAAGCGUGGGGAGCAAACAGG